AGGAUAAUAGUUAACUAUAACAUUUAGUUUGCAUCUAAAAAGUAUUGAUUUUUCAAUUUAUCUU
rnacentral:tRNA from 1 species